rnacentral:misc_RNA from 1 species
GAUGAAGAACGCAGCGAAAUGCGAUACUUGGUGUGAAUUGCAGAAUCCCGUGAACCAUCGAGUCUUUGAACGCAAGUUGCGCCCGAAGCCACUAGGCCGAGGGCACGCCUGCCUGGGCGUCACACGCCGUUGCCCCCCCAUCUACUCCUUCUGGAUUGCGGGGGGGCGGAUGAUGGCCUCCCGUGCGCCUAGCCGCGCGGUUGGCAUAAAUACCAAGUCCUCGGCGACGCACGCCACGACAAUCGGUGGUUGCGAAACCUCGGUUGCCCGUCGUGUGCGUUCGUCGCGCAUCGAGGGCUCGAAAAAAUGCUCGGCUCCGGCUGGGCUUUCAACGCGACCCCAGGUCAGGCGGGGUUACCCGCUGAAUUUAAGCAUAUCAAUAAGCGGAGGA